GGAAGUGCGUGCUUCUAAUUGACUUCACUUGUCUCCAUUGAAUCCAAUGGGGUCGCUGUGUCCAUUUGGUCUCACGCUCUACAGAAACUUCUAGAAAUCCCGCUGAAGGAUCUGAAGUAUUACAGAUGCAUCCUUCUGAUCCCAGACAUCUAUAACAUGCAGCACAUGAAGGAAGUUGUCAAUAUGCUGCUGGUUAAAAUGGGCUUCUCAGCAGAAGGACCUCUACAGUCCUGAAUGUCAGCGGAGACCAGGACAGCUAGAUGAGCCCCAGAUACAGAUCCACAGUCAAGACCUUGUCUCCUAGACGGCCAUCAGGACAAGACCACAGGAACCAGAUGAGUCCUC